AACUAAACGGCAAUAAUUCAAAUGAUAAAAAAAAAUAACCGUGUUAAAAUAUAUUAUAUUUUCUUAAAUAGUACACAUUUUUACGAUACAUUUAUAAUGACAAAAAACCAACUAGUUCAUAUGACGACAACGAUAAUUAUUGUAUGAUGGUAGUUGUCUGAAGUCAUAAAAAGCUUAUCGGUAUGCUUAUUCAUUAGAGCGGUUCGAUUCCUGAAACUAUCUCUAGUCUGAUUAAGUGUGGUAACAGUUAUAAGAUGAGUCAAAGAUGAUGGUUGAACAGUUCUCCAUUGACACUAACUGGAAGAAAAGAUUGUUUUAUUAUUUGUCUAAAUAGACUAGCUAGAAUGUGACCAGAGGAAGAUUAAAUGGACAUAUCAUAUAUUUCUCCAUAGACACUGUAGUAAUCCAUAGACUGACUUUUGACACUAUAUUUGAAUAUUUGUUGUUGACGUUAAUUGGAUUUUGUGCAAAACCCCUGGAAGAAUAUUCUGUAUCAGACUAACAGUAUAAACGCCACCCAGUAAUUCUGUUUACCUGCUGUUAGACAUUGUAGUAUCAUCUCCAAUCUCUUUAUAUAUUGUUUAAUUUUAUUUAAAAAAGUCUUAUUAUAAUUUAUUAUUAAUCAAGUGUAAUUCAGUUGAUUAUUUAUUGAAUAACUUAUUAUCCUGUCUUCAAUGUCCAUAUAAACUGUACUGUAUUUAUGACCACUACACUGAUAUCUCAUUUGGCUAAAUAUUUUUAAUUUUCAACUACAUUAAAACAAAAUUA